rnacentral:lncRNA from 1 species
GGUGGGUGGGUGGAUUAUUCUUGAAAUUCGAUAUUGGUUGGCUCGAUAAUUGACCGAUUCUCUCCUCAUAGUGGCCUAAGCUAACUGUCCUAUUUGAGCUUCUAGCCUGACAAUAGAUUACUAUUGGAUCAUAAUCAAUUGUUGAAGUUAAGUAAUCCUAUCAUCGGUUAGAUUAGUCUGUUGAGGAGGUGGAUAUGAUGACUGAUUGUAAUAUGAUGGCUAGAUAGACUGAUUAGGCUGAUCU